rnacentral:rRNA from 1 species
UACGUCGGGACCAAGCGUUGUUCGGAUUUACUGGGCGUAAAGGGCGCGUAGGCGGCAAUUCAAGUCAUCUGUGAAAUCUCCGGGCUUAACUCGGAACGGUCAGAUGAUACUGCUUUGCUAGAGUGCGGAAGGGGCAAUCGGAAUUCUUGGUGUAGCGGUGAAAUGCGUAGAUAUCAAGAGGAACACCUGAGGUGAAGACGGGUUGCUGGGCCGACACUGACGCUGAUAGCGCGAAAGCCAGGGGAGCAAACGGG